UGCGGUGUAGAGCAGUUGGUAGCUCGUCGGGCUCAUAAUCCGAAGAACGUUAGUUCAAUUCUAACCUCCGCAA
rfam:Candidatus Carsonella ruddii DC, complete genome.